rnacentral:rRNA from 1 species
GGUGAAAUGCGUAGAUAUAUGGAGGAACACCAGUGGCGAAGGCGACUUUCUGGCCUGAAACUGACGCUGAGGCGCGGAAGCGUGGGGAGCAAACAGGAUUAGAUACCCUGGUAGUCCACGCCGUAAACGAUGAGUGCUAGGUGUUAGGGGUUUCGAUGCCCUUAGUGCCGCAGUUAACACAUUAAGCACUCCGCCUGGGGAGUACGGCCGCAAGGCUGAAACUCAAAGGAAUUGACGGGGGCCCGCACAAGCAGUGGAGCAUGUGGUUUAAUUCGAAGCAACGCGAAGAACCUUACCAGGGCUUGACAUCCCGCUGACCGGUAUAGAGAUAUGCCAUUACCUUCGGGUACAGCGGAGACAGGUGGUGCAUGGUUGUCGUCAGCUCGUGUCGUGAGAUGUUGGGUUAAGUCCCGCAACGAGCGCAACCCU